rnacentral:rRNA from 1 species
GGUGAGGUAACGGCUCACCAAGGCGACGAUGCGUAGCCGACCUGAGAGGGUGAUCGGCCACACUGGGACUGAGACACGGCCCAGACUCCUACGGGAGGCAGCAGUAGGGAAUCUUCCGCAAUGGACGAAAGUCUGACGGAGCAACGCCGCGUGAGUGAUGAAGGUUUUCGGAUCGUAAAGCUCUGUUGUUAGGGAAGAACAAGUACCGUUCGAAUAGGGCGGUACCUUGACGGUACCUAACCAGAAAGCCACGGCUAACUACGUGCCAGCAGCCGCGGUAAUACGUAGGUGGCAAGCGUUGUCCGGAAUUAUUGGGCGUAAAGGGCUCGCAGGCGGUUUCUUAAGUCUGAUGUGAAAGCCCCCGGCUCAACCGGGGAGGGUCAUUGGAAACUGGGGAACUUGAGUGCAGAAGAGGAGAGUGGAAUUCCACGUGUAGCGGUGAAAUGCGUAGAGAUGUGGAGGAACACCAGUGGCGAAGGCGACUCUCUGGUCUGUAACUGACGCUGAGGAGCGAAAGCGUGGGGAGCGAACAGGAUUAGAUACCCUGGUAGUCCACGCCGUAAACGAUGAGUGCUAAGUGUUAGGGGGUUUCCGCCCCUUAGUGCUGCAGCUAACGCAUUAAGCACUCCGCCUGGGGAGUACGGUCGCAAGACUGAAACUCAAAGGAAUUGACGGGGGCCCGCACAAGCGGUGGAGCA